CCCUAUGGAACCCUUGGUUAACUUGUAACCAAAAACGCCAAUGAUUGAGCGGCUCCCUACGAAACCCCUAGAAGAAGAACCUCUAGAAACACCGAUGAACGGGAAAUAAAUUUGAAUAUUUGCAACUCCGAAAUACCCUCGAAAGUAACAAACUCCAAACUAAAUAGCAAGAGAAGAAUCACUCUACUCUAAAAAAAUUUGCCUCACACAAAUUUGAAAGAAAAC
rnacentral:lncRNA from 1 species